rnacentral:rRNA from 1 species
AUUGAACGCUGGCGGCAGGCCUAACACAUGCAAGUCGAGCGAGCGGCGGACGGGUGAGUAAUGUCUGGGAAACUGCCUGAUGGGGGGGGAUAACUACUGGAAACGGUAGCUAAUACCGCAUACCAUCAGAUGUGCCCAGAUGGGAUGUGUUAGUGGGUGGGGUAACGGCUAACCUAGGCGACGAGCCCUAGCUGGUCUGAGAGGAUGACCAGCCACACGGGAACUAGGACACGGUCCAGAAUCCUAAGGGAGGCAGCAGUGGGGAAUAUUGCACAAUGGGCGCAAGCCUGAUGCAGCCAUGCCGCGUGUGUGAAGAAGGCCUUCGGGUUGUAAAGCACUUUCAGCGGGGAGGCGUUACCCGCAGAAGAAGCACCGGCUAACUCCGUGCCAGCAGCCGCGGUAAUUC